rnacentral:rRNA from 1 species
CGUGAGGGAGGAGGCUCUUGGGUUGUAAACCUCUUUUCUCAGGGAAGAAAAAAUGACGGUACCUGAGGAAUAAGCAUCGGCUAACUCCGUGCCAGCAGCCGCGGUAAUACGGAGGAUGCAAGCGUUAUCCGGAAUGAUUGGGCGUAAAGCGUCCGCAGGUGGCGAUGUAAGUCUGCUGUCAAAGAGCGAAGCUCAACUUCGUAAAGGCAGUGGAAACUACAUAGCUAGAGUGCGUUCGGGGCAGAGGGAAUUCCUGGUGUAGCGGUGAAAUGCGUAGAGAUCAGGAAGAACACCGGUGGCGAAGGCGCUCUGCUAGGCCGCAACUGACACUGAGGGACGAAAGCUAGGGGAGCGAAUGGGAUUAGAACCCAACCGUAAACGAUGGAUACUAGGCGUG